AAUUACUGGCGACUCAAAAAUAUAAUCUUAGUGCCAAUCAUGCUGCAACCAACUUAACGUAGUUGAAGGGUAUUAUGUGUAUUGGGAAAUGACACAUUCGUGCUGGAACACCAUGAUGAUGGCUGAAGUGAAUCACACCAGCAUUCUCAGCUGUCCUCUCCAGUGAUUUCUGCUCUUUUGACCGAUGGAGCAAAGUUGCAAAAAUAUGAGUAGCGGAAGUAAUCAUUACGGAGUUGGGAAAUGACACAGCAGGGAGGGACUUGGCUGUAAUAUUAGAGAGGUUCAUCGAAAAUGGGAAAUAGAAAAUAGUGACUGCAAAAUAGAUUGCUGGGGAUUACUCUAUUUCUUAUUUGAUUGAAUUUGGCGUUAGCAACUUCUCUUGGGGUCUUCCAAGGUCCAUGGACGUAAUCUAAACUACAAACGGGCGGAGUUGUUCUAUGACUUAGCAACAGCAAAAGGAUAAUGGAACGUACUCUGAUGUCUUGGAGUAACUUAAUGAGACACAUUUUCUGGAAGAAAGAAUAAUUAAGUCCUGUAACUUCUCG
rnacentral:misc_RNA from 1 species